rnacentral:lncRNA from 1 species
ACAAACGUCGGCCAAAAACGUCGGACCAAAAAAAAAGUGUGACCAAAAACUGAGACAAAAUAAGAGGCCCAAAAACAGAGCAUAACACAUAACUUUUUUAUUGAGCAAAACAGAUCAAAACAUCGGCCAUUUUAAACAAUAUUGUGGCCCAAAAGUUUUUCAAAAACAUAACUUAACAAAACCAUACUAAACUAACAAAACCAUACAUAACUUAACUUAACAAAACCAUACUAAACCAUAAGGCAUGACACAUAACUUUGUAGCCGUUUGUCCAUGCCAUCCUUGGUGCCUGCAAUAAGAAAAACAGAGCAUGAACAAUGAAAAUCAUUAAACUCAUAAGAUAUACAAAUUCUAAAUGAAAUGGAAUCAUAUAUAAAACAUACUAAUCCCAAAAAACUCAUGUCUUACAAAAGGAGACUUGAUUACAAUACAUAGAACCAUUCAUUAAAAGACUUACAAAUGAAAGACAUAAUUAAAAUACAUAUAACCAUUCAUCAAGUGAUACCCGAUACUUAACAUACAAACCAUACAUGACACUAAACAUGAAACAAGUGAUACCCGAUACUUAGCAUACAAACCAUUCAUCAAAAGACAGAGACACUUAACCCUUAACUCAGUCAUACAAACCAAACAUGAAAAACCCUCACAUAUGUGACAACAUUUCAUUAAUGAGCUUGUUCUUAAGCUCAACUUCUACCUCAGUAAGAGGUUCAGUUUUUCCAAGGAGAUUCUCGAGUAUCCUUUGCUUGUUAGUCUUAUCUUUCAAGGCUAACUCCUUUUCCCUUAACUCAAAGAUGCUUCUAAAGUCCACUACACCCUUACCAUCUUCUUCCAAAUGAGCAGCAUUGGUCUUUGUUGAUUUUUUUUUUUGCCUUGGAAGCCUUUACACCAGCAGGCCGAGGAACUCCUUCAUCCUCUCCAUCCCUGAAACGAGCAUCGGUUCCUUCAACGUUAGCACCAUCGGUUCUUCUUUUUUUUGAACUUCCACUUCCUCUCCACUUCUGAUCAUGACGCAGUUCUCUCCAGCAGUGCUCCAUGGUGAACUUGUGUUUGUAAUCAUUGAAAAAGGUGUCCAAAGCCAGCUUCAUUACAUCAUUUUCAUUUUGCCCUGAUGUUUUUUGAGCUGAAGCUGCCUCAUAUGACCCAACAAACUUACACACAGACUCAUUUAUCUUGGCCCAUAUCUGCUUACAGUUAGUUGGACCUCUCUUGUCUUCAGCAGAGAUCUUAUCACUCGCCGCAUAAUAGAUGGCUAUCCUUUUCCAGAAUACAUCAAGCCUUUGCCCAUUGCUAAUGAUUGGAUCCUUGCUUGUAUUAAGCCAGGCGCUUAUGAGCACAAGAUCUUCAGUGGGAGUCCAUGGCUUCUUGGUCGUGCGGUUUUUGGCUUCUGAAUCACCUGGAGUUGGAGCAUCACUCCAUUGGGUUCCAAACACUGGGUAUGGCUCACCGAGUGCAAUGGUUUGUUGCAUGGGUUCAAUGCUUUGGGUAUGGGUCAUUUGUUGGCUGGUUAGCAAGUCCAUGAAGCCUGAAGUGUCAGAAAAUGGAUUCCUUGAGUCCAUAGGAAGCAAUGCAAAUGCGAAUGAAAGAGUAAAAAAACUAAAAAAGGAAAUGACAAGGGAAGAGUUUAGGCGAAUGAAAAAGAAAUGAGAAGGAAAGAGUUGGCUUCUCUUGGCUUGUGUUGGGGUUUAGGGGAAUGAAAAGGAAUGAAAAGAGGUGGCUUCUCUUAAAAAAACAAUGUCUCCACCGUUUUAUAAAAGCUACAAGUAUUGAAGAGUUUGUGUAACUAGUUAAGCAUUCAUUGUAAGUUCUCAAACCACUUUGCAUUGAGUCUUUUAACUAAUAGGAAAGAGUUUGUGGUUCAUUAAAGAGAAAAUCUUGAGUUUCAAUUUGAGUUUAAGUAUGAGUUGUUUGCAUUGAUUGUGAAACUAGUUAGCAUUGAUUACUAUGUUUUGAGUUAAAGUUAGAGUUAGCUUUUGCAUAAGAGAGUUAGCUUUCAAGUUUUAACAAAAACUUCUAGUUAGCAUUCAAGAGAGAGUAAAAUAAAACAAGUUUUCUCUUCUUUUAGUUAGCAUUCAUUGUGUCACUUAUGUUUUACCUAAUCAAACAACUUUGCAUUGAUCAAAUGUGACAUAAAGCACACCAAAGACAACCGAUUUCAACCAAGCAUUGAUUCCACCCUCUAAUCCAAAACCUAACUACAGAGCAUUGAUUCCAAACUACAGAGCCUAAUUCAAGUCAUCAAACCAUCAAUCACAUCCGCACAUCACACACACCCUAAUUAAAUCAUUCAAAAAUUUUAGAAUAACUAAGACAUGCAAAGAAAACUUACUUCUACAAUUGCAUGUUUCUGACUUCGGUUGAUCGGUAUAUUGGCAUCGAGUUGGCUUGCUCGAUCGAUUGGCUCCGAACUCCUGAACUCGCCGACAAUAAAUUCUUGUUGUCGGAACCGCGGAACGCCGGAAAAGAAGAAGCUCGAUCAAUUGGCUCCAAGCUUCUUCUUUGGUUGAUCAUUCCUGACCUCGCCGACAAUUUCUGAACUCGCCGACAAUUAAAUCAUGUU